AUUGAACGCUGGCGGCAUGCCUUACACAUGCAAGUCGAACGGCAGCACGGGGCAACCUGGUGGCGAGUGGCGAACGGGUGAGUAAUGCAUCGGAACGUGCCAUUGAGUGGGGGAUAACGUAGCGAAAGUUGCGCUAAUACCGCAUAUUCUGUGAGCAGGAAAGCAGGGGACCGCAAGGUCUUGCGCUCUUUGAGCGGCCGAUGUCAGAUUAGCUAGUUGGUGAGGUAACGGCUUACCAAGGCGACGAUCUGUAGCGGGUCUGAGAGGAUGAUCCGCCACACUGGAACUGAGACACGGUCCAGACUCCUACGGGAGGCAGUAGUGGGGAAUUUUGGACAAUGGGCGCAAGCCUGAUCCAGCCAUGCCGCGUGAGUGAGGAAGGCCUCGGUUGUAAGCGUCUUCGGUCCGGGAACGGAAAUAC
rnacentral:rRNA from 1 species